CUUUUCGUGGCGUUCCGGUAGCGCGCCGUGAUCGUAUAGUGGUUCUUCUCUCUAUUCCUGCAAAAAGAAACCCAUGGGGAGAUCCAGCAGGACUCUUCGUGUCAUGAGGACUAAAACUCAUUCCUGAGGAAGAAUGGAGGAGCUGCCUCUCAGAAGCAAGGCUUUAAAUCAGUGGUUUCCAAAAAUUAUUCUAGAACUCAGAAACAGGAUGAAGUUUUCAUCACGGAAUAAGAGAAAAUAAGGUCAAUAUGCUCUCCAACUGCUUCUACUGUCUGCUUGUCUCUUCUGACCGUCCUAUCAGGGCAACUGUUCUGAAUUCCUGGGAGAAUGGUGGUCCUGACUGUCUUCGUGGACCUUUGGCAUUAGAUCCUUCAUGGCUAAUGUGAAGAAGAUCUGAUGUUUUCUGUUGUCUGAAAUGGGCAUAUGGAACAGAUUUGGGUACUCUGUGGAGAAAGAGUUCUUUUCUAAGGUAAUACAUCCAUUACAACUCAGCAA